GAUCAUGGCUCAGGAUAAACGCUGGCGGCGUGCUUAACACAUGCAAGUCGAACGAAGUUUUUCUUUCGGGAGGAACUUAGUGGCGGACGGGUGAGUAACGCGUGGGUAACCUGCCCUGUACAGGGGGACAACAGCUGGAAACGGCUGCUAAUACCGCAUAAGCCCUUAGCACUGCAUGGUGCAUAGGGAAAAGGAGCAAUCCGGUACAGGAUGGACCCGCGUCUGAUUAGCCAGUUGGCAGGGUAACGGCCU
rnacentral:rRNA from 1 species